ensembl:lncRNA
UUACACUAAUGGGUAUACAGGUCAUAUGGAAAAUUAAACACCAAAAUCUAAGUUUUCAGGGCAAGAGAAUUUAUGCAUACAAAUCCUAUUACCAGUUAAUGGGAUUUGUGUGGAUCCCCAGUGACCUAUUUAGAAAAUUUACCCCCUGCUGUUCAAGAUGAAUAUAUCAUGUGAACUAAACCUGAAAACAGAGUCCUACUGUUGGCUUCAUCCCCAAUCUGUCAAGCAAGUCCUCUAUGAUUUCCACAGGAUUCUGGCAACAAUUUCAAAAUUCGCCACUGAAACAAAUCAUGCAUAUCCAGGCAUAGAAGAGGGGUGACAACUACAAGAAGAACAAGAAAUAGGGAAGAAGGGCUGACACAAGCUGAGAUGAGGAAAUAUGACCUCCUACACGUGUUUUCCAUGAGGAAUAUGUUUGCUGUGCAGUCACUGAGUUAAAAGCAAGCUUCAUUCCCUUGUGCACCAAGGUAAUUUGGAAAACAAGCCGGAGAAGUCAGGACUGCUAUUUCUCAGUCUGAUUUAACCAUUGACAGGCUAUUUUUACAUCCACUAUGGAGAUGUUCAGGUGAGGUAAACACCCCAGAGAAUACUGAGGAAACACUUACUUUCACAUGAGUAAUACAUUAUGAUAACUCACAUCUUCUAAUAAUAUAAUCUUGUUUUGAAUUCAAACAACUUUCAUACUAUUUGGUGUAGUGCCUGAAUCUAAUACUGUUUCUACCAUCUAGCUUUCUCAUACAGAAUACCUAAUGAAAUUUUCCCUUCACUGUUACUUGAAUUCAAUUAAGGUGAUGCUAUCUCUGUUCUGUGUUCUGAUAAACUCACUGAGGUAUCACUUUCUCUGAUAAAUACCCAGGUAUCUUAAUGAGGUCAAUGUCACUACUUGUUUAAUUAACUUUUAUUUUCUGUAAUUCACAUACUGGUGGUUUCCAUUGGGAUGUCUUAUUAAAAGAAAGUGCUGUUAUUAAAUAUAGAGUAAAAAUCAUUCCUGUAUAACUCCAUAGUUGAGAGUAUUGAAGACCUUAUACAAUUCUUUCAAUGAAAUGUAUUGUGAAAUUAUAAACUAAUGCUCACUAUUUCAAAGAUACUAAGUAAAGUUGUGUCUAUGUUUUGAAAUAGAAAUUAUUUACCAUAUUUUACCUUAACUCUUUGCUAGAAGCUGUCUGAAUAUUCUGAUCAAAAACCUAGGUGGGACGCAAUUUAUUAACCAUAAUAGCUCGUUAAGCCUUGGAUUACUCAAAAUUGUUCAAAAAUUGUUGAGCAGUUUAGUGUAUUGGAAAGAGACCUUUAACUUUAAAAGUGAUACUACUGAAUAUGAAAAUAUAGAAUCUAUUGCUAAUCUAUGAGGAGAGGCAAAUGUCCUCUGGGUGUGUAUGGCAGAUGCUCCUGACAGCAAUAACUUAACCAUACCCUGAGGAUGACCCUACAUUCUAAGGAGAAUGUAUGUUUGGAGUUCCAAGCAAGAAACCUGGGGGUAGCCAACUGGAGAUUCAUUCCUUAUCUAUGAAGGACAUCUGAUCCAUUGGCCUAUCCCUUGGAAUGCAGACCAUACAGGGGAUUGA